ACUAACUAGAUCUCGUUCAACCCAAUUUUCGGUGGAAGUUUGCAUGGUAAUUAAUGUACAUCAUAUAUUUUUUUUUGUUUUAUUAUUCUCUUAUUUUAGAAGUUAGAGGGGGGGGGGACACAUUUUACCACUUUGGAAGUGUCUCUCGCGCAAACUAUUCAGUUUAGAAAAAAAUGAUAUUAGAAACUUCAAUAUCAUUUUUGAAGCCCUAUCCAUAUAUAUAGAUACCCCACACGUAUGGGUUUGAUGAAAAAAUAAUUUUGAGUUUCAGUUCUAAACGUAUAAAAAAAAAACUACUUACUAGAUCUCGUUCAAACCAAUUUUCGGUGGAAGUUUACAUAGUAAUGUACAUCAUAUAUUUUUUUUAGUUUUAUCAUUCUCUUAUUUUAGAAGUUACAGGGGGGGGACACACAUUUUACCACUUUGGAAGUGUCUCUCGCGCAAACUAUUCAGUUUAGAAAAAAAUGAUAUUACCAACCUCAAUAUCAUUUUUGAAGACCUAUCCAUAGAUACCCCACACGUAUAGGUUUGAUGAAAAAAAAAAUUUUUGAGCGAUUUAUGACGUAUUAAAAAAAAAACUACUUACUAGAUCUCGUUCAAACUAAUUUUCGGUGGAAGUUUACAUGGUACUGUACAUCGUAUAUUUUUUUUAGUUUUAUCAUUCUCUUAUUUUAGAAGUUACAGGGGGGGGGGGGGACACAUUUUACCACUUUGGAAGUGUCUCUCGCGCAAACUAUUCAGUUUAGAAAAAAAUGAUAUAUGAAACCUCAAUAUCAUUUUUGAAGACCUAUCCAUAAAUACCCCACACGUAUGGGUUUGAUGAAAAAAAAAUUGAGUUUCAGUUCUAAGUAUGGGGAACCCCCAAAAUUUCUAUUUUUGUGUGAAAAUUUUAAUGCGGUUCACAGAAUACAUCUACUUACAAAGUUUCAACAGUAU